GGGGGUGUAGCUCAGUUGGGAGAGCGCGUGAUUCGCAUUUACGAGGUCAGGGGUUCGAAUCCCCUCAUCUCCACCA
rnacentral:tRNA from 3 species